rnacentral:rRNA from 1 species
UACGGAGGGGGUUAGCGUUGUUCGGAAUGACUGGGCGUAGAGCGCGCGUAGGCGGGCUGGAAAGUUGGGGGUGAAAUCCCGGGGCUCAACCCCGGAAUGGCCUUCAAAACUCCCAGCCUAGAGUUCGAGAGAGGUGAGUGGAAUUCCGAGUGUAGAGGUGAAAUUCGUAGAUAUUCGGAGGAACACCAGUGGCGAAGGCGGCUCACUGGCUCGACACUGACGCUGAGGUGCGAAAGCGUGGGGAGCAAACAGG